rnacentral:lncRNA from 1 species
GCCAUUGCAAGAAUUUACCUUUUAGUUGAAAAGUUAUAAGAUUAAUUUACGUUGGAGGAAGUUUUUAUUUUGUUUUGGGUUUUGUGAAGAGUUUGAGGAGAAGAGUUUUUUGUUUCCAAUACUUUUUUGAAGAGCAAUGGCCACUGGAGAAAAAGGAAAUUAAGUCACCAUUUUUGUUUUUGUUGGAUAUGGAAUAAGCAAUCAGUUUGGGGUUUCUUUUGG